rnacentral:rRNA from 1 species
AUUGAACGCUGGCGGCAGGCCUAACACAUGCAAGUCGAGCGGAUGAGUGGAGCUUGCUCCAUGAUUCAGCGGCAGACGGGUGAGUAAUGCCUAGGAAUCUGCCUGGUAGUGGGGGACAACGCUUCGAAAGGAACGCUAAUACCGCAUACGUCCUACGGGAGAAAGCAGGGGACCUUCGGGCCUUGCGCUAUCAGAUGAGCCUAGGUCGGAUUAGCUAGUAGGUGAGGUAAUGGCUCACCUAGGCGACGAUCCGUAACUGGUCUGAGAGGAUGAUCAGUCACACUGGAACUGAGACACGGUCCAGACUCCUACGGGAGGCAGCAGUGGGGAAUAUUGGACAAUGGGCGAAAGCCUGAUCCAGCCAUGCCGCGUGUGUGAAGAAGGUCUUCGGAUUGUAAAGCACUUUAAGUUGGGAGGAAGGGCAGUAAGUUAAUACCUUGCUGUUUUGACGUCACCAACAGAAUAAGCACCGGCUAACUUCGUGCCAGCAGCCGCCGUAAUAC